GACGAACGCUGGCGGCGUGCCUAAUACAUGCAAGUCGAGCGGACCUCUUCGGAGGUCAGCGGCGGACGGGUGAGUAACACGUGGGCAACCUGCCUGUAAGACUGGGAUAACUCCGGGAAACCGGAGCUAAUACCGGAUACUAUGUCAAACCGCAUGGUUUGACAUUCAAAGACGGUUUCGGCUGUCACUUACAGAUGGGCCCGCGGCGCAUUAGCUAGUUGGUGAGGUAACGGCUCACCAAGGCGACGAUGCGUAGCCGACCUGAGAGGGUGAGCUGACACACUGGGAAUGAGACACGGCCCAGACUCCUACGGGAGUCGGAGGUAGGGAAUCUUCCGCAAUGGUCGAAAGUCUGACGGAGCAACGCCGCGUGAGUGAUGAAGGUUUUCGGAUCGUAAAACUCUGUUGUCAGGGAAGAACAAGUGCCGGAGUAACUGCCGGCGCCUUGACGGUACCUGACCAGAAAGCCACGGCUAACUACGUGCCAGCCGCCGCCGUAA
rnacentral:rRNA from 1 species